rnacentral:rRNA from 1 species
AUCUUCGGAUAAUAUGAGAGUGGCGAACGGGUGAGUAACACGUAAGAAUCUACCUUUAGGACGGGGAUAACUUCUGGAAACGGAUGCUAAUACCCGAUAUGCUGUGGAGUGAAAUGAAUUUCGCCUAAAGAUGAUCUUGCGUCUGAUUAGCUAGAUAGGGUGGUAAUGGCGCCCUAUGGCGACGAUCAGUAGCUGGUCUGAGAGGAUGGACAGCCACAUUGGGACUGAGACACGGCCCAAACUCCUACGGGAGGCAGCAGUGGGGAAUUUUCCGCAAUGGGCGAAAGCCUGACGGAGCGACGCUGCGUGAAGGAUGACGGCCUGGGGGUUGUAAAUUUCUUUUCUCGAAGAAGAAUCAAUGACGGUAUUCGAGGAAUAAGCAUCGGCUAACUCUGUGCCAGCAGCCGCGGUAAGACAGAGGAUGCAAGUGUUAUUCGGAUUGAUUGGGCGUAAAGCGUCUGUA